UUUCGGUCAUAUCAAGUUAAAACAUCGGUACCCGUACGAGCACCGAAGUUAAGCAACGUUGAGCCUGGUCAGAACCUAGAUGAGUGACCGCUUGGGAAAACCCGGUGCUGUAAG